AGGUCACCGUAGAGUGGAUUUCGAGUGGGGUCGGCUGAAGGAUGCCAUCUUGACGUUGUGUGACGACACCAAGGAAGAUUUUCAAAAGAAAUUCGAUGAAAUUGAUGGCAAGAAGAGAGUCCCAGAUACUAUCGCUUCCAUCACAGCUGACGAACAACCUGUAAAGGCAGUCAAGGGAUGGCGUUACUACUGUACCGUACAGUGAGACCAGCCAAGUGUAAUGCAGUGUCGUCAGAUUUGAUUACUGAUAGAUACAUGUAUAUAAACAUUUGAUAGUUGUCAUCAUCCUUCAUUCACUACUAACCCGAUUUACGUUCAGUACAUUAAUAAUGUACUGAACGUAAAUCCGGUUAGAAGUGAAUGAAGGAUGAAUUUAAUGCCAGUUUUAUGGGCUAUGUUCUUUGUUACUAAGCUUGUACUUCAUUCUUUGCAUCAUUACAUUUACAUUUUAAGAAGAAGAAAUGUCAUGAUAAGAUGUAAAAUAGUUUUAAUGUUGCAUGGACAAUCAAUAAACAAACAACAUGGCAUAGCCAUAUGUACUUGGAAUCCAGACGACACUUUGUAGAUUUUGAACAAGGCAUGUUUCCCCUUUAAAUGGAUUUAGACACUAUUGAGUCAUUUUGAAUGCAAACGUUUAUAAGGUAUGUUGCAUGUUAGAUUUUAUCUUAACACUACAUUCUAAUAUUUGGAUUUGUUGAACUCUGGUUGCAGCAAAAGCUGAAAAGAAAAAGUAAUACAUAAAAGUAUCCUUACCUACAUAUACAUGUAUAACUUGAUUUCUUUGAAUAUAUACCAAACAAAACACAUUUCAGAUUACAAUCAAAGAUUUUUAAUCUAUAUGUAGUCAAUACAUUAUGUGUAUCGUUGCGCAUGAUGCGACCCUAUCACAAUUUUCGUUAGUUUCAAUAAUCGCGAUGUUUCCUAUUACAUAUUCGCAACAUAGGCAGCAGUGUAUUCGUAACCUAGUAUUCGUUUCGUAUGCUUCCUUGAGUUAUAGACAUUGUUAAUAUAGAAUGACACAUCAUAACAACGAAUGAUAAUGAACAUGAUUUUUGUAUAUUGAUAAUACAUAUCUUUGUGACACCUGUCAGCUUUUUGGUAGUCCUUGUAUCUUCUUCAAAUGAAUGAUGACUGGUUGUACUUCCACCGCUAGGUGGCGCCCCAGUGAUCAAAAUGCGGUCCCAACUGUGACUAAGUUUAUAUCCCCCCUCAUCGUAAGAGUCUGAGGGAAACAACGUAUCCAAUAAAUUCUGUGG